UGGACCUUUCAAAUACGACAUGAUAGCUUCAUAGUGUACUACCUGACUUACAUUUUGCGAAAAAAGCUUACUAUCAGUGGGGCCUUAGUUUUGUCUUUUUUAUUUCAGUUUAGUUUUUACCUAACAAGUCUAGAUGAAUAAAACAUUUUGAGCAACCAGGUGGAACUAAGUCAUACAACAUAUUAAUUUCGAGAAAACAUUACGUUCAACUUGAUUACACUAUGAUGUUUAAGCGAUGACCAAGUGCAUUCAUAAUCGAGAAUUGCGGCAGUCCGGACCGAUUUACAUCCUAUAGGAGAUACCCG
rnacentral:lncRNA from 1 species